rnacentral:rRNA from 1 species
CAGAAUCAACGCUGGCGGCGUGCCUCAGACAUGCAAGUCGAACGAUUAAAGCUCUCUUCGGAGAGUGUAUAGAGUGGCGCACGGGUGGGUAACACGUAAGUAAUCUACCCUCGAGUGGGGAAUAACAACCGGAAACGGUUGCUAAUACCGCAUAAUGCAGCGGCACCGCAAGGUGACAGUUGUUAAAGAUUUAUCGCUUGAGGAGGAGCUUGCGGCAGAUUAGCUAGUUGGUAGGGUAACGGCUUACCAAGGCUACGAUCUGUAACCGGUCUAAGAGGACGGUCGGUCACACUGACACUGAAUAACGGGUCAGACUCCUACGGGAGGCAGCAGUCGGGAAUUUUGGGCAAUGGGCGAAAGCCUGACCCAGCAACGCCGCGUGAAGGAUGAAGUAUUUCGGUAUGUAAACUUCGAAAGAAUAGGAAGAAUUAAUGACGGUACUAUUUAUAAGGUCCGGCUAACUACGUG